ACUUCCUGUUUCCAGUUUAGGCCAUGCCCUAUGAGUGUGACCUCAUUCCCCGCUGACCCCCCUUUUUUGGAAGUAUGUGGAAGCCACGCCCGCUUCCACUUCUCCAGGGUGUACCCCACCUUCUGCCCAAAUGCAAAGAGAACCCAUGCAAUCAUUGGGAGAACAUGUAAACUCCAUCCACUCCAGCCACUGUCGGAGACAGGGGUCGGGAACCUUUUUGGCUGAGAGAGCCAUGAAAGCCACAUAUUUCAAAAUGUAUUUCCGUGAGAGCCAUAUAAUAUUUUUUUAAUACUGAAUACAACUAAAUGUGUGCAUUUUUAAGACCAACAUGUUUAGAGUAUAAUAAGUCUCUUAUUCUUUUUAAUAAGAUUGUUAUUUUAAAGUUAACCAAUAAUAACUAUAAUUAUUCUUACCAUUAAUGCGACAUCUUGUACAGGUGCGAUAGAAAACGGAUGGUUGGAUUAAAAUGCAUGAGAAUGUUUUAUAAUGUGAAUGUUAUUUUUAACACUGUGGUUACCGGCGGAAUUAUUCAUUACUUAUCGUGUUAAGCAAUGUCACCUAAGAUUUAUCUGAGAGCCAGAUGCAGUCAUCAAAAGAGCCGUAGGUUCCCUACCCUUGGUCUGGGGUGUACCCUGCUCAGCUCAGAAGGGCUCCAGGCCCCUCGCAGACCCGAAAUGGACAAGUGAUAGAAAAGGGAUUGAUGGAUAUGUUACACUAGUUAGCUUUGUCACCUAUGACAGAAAGUUUUACGUGGUUUUGUUCAGACAGCAUAGCAUACACUGACCUACAUUCAGUUUGCGCAUCUUUAAUGUACAAACUGUUACACACGCAUGCGACCAAUCCUAUUCAGUGAAUAUUUUGACACAUCUUUAUUUAAAUGUUUUUAUUUGAGAGCUAAAUUUAUUGGAGAAUCACUUGCAAGCAGUUUGUAAUUUCCACGGUCUUAUUUGAAAAAUAAAUUCAGAUUUGCACACAAAAGCUGAAAUAAUUAUAUCAACCUUAUGUUAAUGUAGGUCAAUAUAUUAGCUUUGUGUUAUUAGUGACAAAGCAAUUUAGUUGUGUAGAUAAUAAUAAAUAAUUAAUCAUUUCUAUUUUGACAAUAUUUCGAGGGACAGUAAAAAAAAAAAAAAGGUUGUAGGCCAAACGUGAAUUCACAGAAACAAUAUUGUUUUGACUAACGUUGAGAAUUGUUCAUGAUUGUAGUUUUAGUAUGUUACAGCUGUAGAGAUGCACUUCUAAUCUUUUAGAUUCUUCAUUAAGCGGCACUAGAGUACAAAUAUUAGCGUCAUCAGCUCGCAGUAUAAUGCAGAGGGAUUUGCCGUGACUCCAAAUUAUGUAUAAAAAUAUAGUGAAUGAAAUUUCAUUAGUUCAAAGGUUUAUUGUGUGGGCUGGGAGCCAUUUUCAUUUUGUAUUGUCAGUAUGAAUAUAGAAUGAAUUAUUAAAGAUAUAUACAUUAUUACAUUUUAUUACCCAUAACACAAAGCUAAGAUGUGAAUGUUUUGUUCACGUAGCUUUGCAUAUGUUGACAACAUUGGAUUAGUUUUAAAAUAAAUGUACAAAAGGUUUCAAAGGGCUUUCAAUUUUUUUUGUGUAAGUGUUGGACGUUAGGACACCCAUUAAUAAUGUUACACUUGCUGACUGACAAUUGUAAUUCUGUCACGUGUAAAAUGCUUAGCCUCUCAAACUCUUUUACCCUGAAAAUCCCAUCAAAAUAGAUAGCGACAGGAGAUGUAUUUUGGAAAGUUGUGGUUUUACUGGUUUUGUACGAAAAUAUCAGCAAACACUUUUAAUUGGGUUGUAGAGUAAAAAUUAUUGGUAAAAUGUGCGAUAAAGACCAAAAACAUUUUCAGUGCCAUUUGUGAGCAAAUGUUUGGGGGAGAGAGAUGAUAGAAGAGGUCUGUACUGUAAGAGCCUGCAGAAGACGUAAGAGCAGAAAAACUGUUAGACCUCUUCCUGUGGUUACAUCACGUGUUCAGAGAGGGUUCAAAAGGAGACAACUUCUUCUUCUCCGUUCACUUUUCCAGCCGGCCAGCGGCACCUGAGAAAGCUGUCGGACGAAAAACACCAAGAACUUGUGAAGAUGGAGAAAAGCUUACUCAUGGCGGACAAAAUGGCUUCCUCGAGAUAACGUUUCCUCUGGCAGGCUUUUCUGAGGCAGUAACUUCUGUGACGCUUCUUUUUUUUGACUUGGGGGGUGGGAAAUGAUAUAUUCAGAUUAGACAAGCAAGCAGAGUAUAUAUGUUUUAAGAAUGGUUGAUUUGUGAAUGGACAUAGAAAUGUGAAGAGACAUGAGACGACAGAAGGCGAAUGGACAUACAUUGCAGUCAUCCAUAAAGUAGAAAGCACUACUAAACUCCAUGCCACAGUGUAGUGUUUCCUACUUUAUGGAUGAGUGUACUGGUGGCUUCAAGAACAUGGCAGCCUCUCCCAGGAAGUCGAUAAGAUGAAGCAGCUUUUGUCUCGCUUGGCCACACAGAGCCCAGCGUGUUUCCAACCAGUUUACAUGGACGCUGUGUGGCACCGAGCAACGCCUGCAAACCUGUCUUCCACUUUGUAUCAUUUCUUCUGCACAGCAUGAAAUAAAUAUCAGUUAUUAACACA